rnacentral:rRNA from 1 species
UGAGGAAUAUUGGUCAAUGGGCGAGAGCCUGAACCAGCCAAGUAGCGUGCAGGAUGGCGGCCCUAUGGGUUGUAAAGCUCUUUCACCGGUGAAGAUAAUGACGGUAACCGGAGAAGAAGCCCCGGCUAACUUCGUGCCAGCAGCCGCGGUAAUACGAAGGGGGCUAGCGUUGUUCGGAUUUACUGGGCGUAAAGCGCACGUAGGCGGACUUUUAAGUCAGGGGUGAAAUCCCGGGGCUCAACCCCGGAACUGCCUUUGAUACUGGAAGUCUUGAGUUCGAGAGAGGUGAGUGGAAUUCCGAGUGUAGAGGUGAAAUUCGUAGAUAUUCGGAGGAACACCAGUGGCGAAGGCGGCUCACUGGCUCGAUACUGACGCUGAGGUGCGAAAGCGUGGGGAGCAAACAGG